rnacentral:rRNA from 1 species
GGAGCAAACAGGAUUAGAUACCCUGGUAGUCCACGCCCUAAACGAUGUCAACUAGGUGUUGGGAGGGUUAAACCUUUUAGUGCCGUAGCUAACGCGUGAAGUUGACCGCCUGGGGAGUACGGCCGCAAGGCUAAAACUCAAAGGAAUUGACGGGGACCCGCACAAGCGGUGGAUGAUGUGGAUUAAUUCGAUGCAACGCGAAAAACCUUACCUACCCUUGACAUGUCAGGAAUCCUGGAGAGAUCUGGGAGUGCUCGCAAGAGAACCUGAACACAGGUGCUGCAUGGCUGUCGUCAGCUCGUGUCGUGAGAUGUUGGGUUAAGUCCCGCAACGAGCGCAACCCUUGUCAUUAAUUGCCAUCAUUCAGUUGGGCACUUUAAUGAGACUGCCGGUGACAAACCGGAG